rnacentral:rRNA from 1 species
GACGAACGCUGGCGGCGUGCUUAACACAUGCAAGUCGAACGAUGAAGCCGGAGCUUGCUCUGGUGAAUUAGUGGCGAACGGGUGAGUAACACGUGGGUAACCUGCCCAUAAGACUGGGAUAACUCCGGGAAACCGGGGCUAAUACCGGAUAACAUUUUGAACCGCAUGGUUCGAAAUUGAAAGGCGGCUUCGGCUGUCACUUAUGGAUGGACCCGCGUCGCAUUAGCUAGUUGGUGAGGUAACGGCUCACCAAGGCAACGAUGCGUAGCCGACCGGAGCGGGUGAUCGGCCACACUGGGACUGAGACACGGCCCGGACUCCUACGGGAGGCAGCAGUAGGGAAUCUUCCGCAAUGGACGAAAGUCUGACGGAGCAACGCCGCGUGAGUGAUGAAGGCUUUCGGGUCGUAAAACUCUGUUGUUAGGGAAGAACAAGUGCUAGUUGAAUAAGCUGGCACCUUGACGGUACCUAACCAGAAAGCCACGGCUAACUACGUGCCAGCAGCCGCCGUAA